rnacentral:sRNA from 1 species
UACAACUGAUUCGGCAUGAAGGGCGGUCGGCUAGUCUCCCUGACGGGAGGUGAUGCCCAUGACAGUAUUCGAAGCACUAACGCUAAUGAUUAGCUUUGGUACGCUUAUCGUGAUGCUGUUAUCGUUUAAUAAACGGAAAUAGACCGCCCCAUAGCAAGGUAUCGGUCUAUUUCAUGUCCGUCUUUGCAGCCGACCGUUCUUACAUGCGGCCGUUGUGCAGGGAUCGUGUUGGUAGCACGAUCC